UACGGAGGGAGCUAGCGUUGUUCGGAAUUACUGGGCGUAAAGCGUGCGCAGGCGGUUUUGUAAGCCAGAUGUGAAAUCCCCGGGCUUAACCUGGGAAUGGCAUUUGGGACUGCAAGGCUGGAGUGCGGCAGAGGAGACUGGAAUUCCCGGUGUAGCAGUGAAAUGCGUAGAUAUCGGGAGGAAUACCGAUGGCGAAGGCAGGUCUCUGGGCUGACACUGACGCUCAUGCACGAAAGCGUGGGGAGCAAACAGG
rnacentral:rRNA from 1 species